CUUUUACCGUCAGUAUCACAAUCAUAAAAUCAAGAAAACGUCCAUCCAAAAUGUUUGACUCGGCCUUGACAGCUGAGAGACACUCGACAGUCGCCUAUAUAAAGUAGCCAGUUGUGGAACAGCAUUGGUGUCCAGCGUUGAAGAACUAAAAUUUUGACAGUUCAUUUCAGUUGAAGGAGAAGCAGCAUCCGCCGGAUGGAAGACGAAAUUGAGAUCGAUGGGCUCGAUUUAAAAUAAGCCCCUUACAUGUCGCCGAGGAGUAAGAGAUGGAUCAGUACUCUUGAAGGCCUUGAACGGAACGACGCAACCGAAAACGGAAUCAGCCGGUCGAUCUGACUCCGUCCGUCUUCCUUUAACGGACGAGAUUUCAGCACUUUACCCUCUUCACAGUUCCACACAACAAUUCACUGAUGCUGGGCCGGAUGCGUAAAUGGCCGCGUCGACGGGCAGGAAAACCGCCUCCCUGUAAUCAUCAAUUUGUUGCGGCUAACCGGAGAAUGGGAAGAAGAGGAAGAAUCAUCGAAAUUCCAAUGCAAAGAUAGCAGCACCCAUUCCUGGUAAUGUGAAAUUUGCUCUUUUCUUUCUCUAGAUGUGUUAAUACGGGCAAGUUUAAUGGUAGUAUUUUUUUUCUCGCAUCAUCAAUGAUCCAAGGUUUUAAAAUGGUCUUACCGGAAGUAAACGCGCCAAGUCAAAAGUGAAGUCAAGUUAAGUCGUCUAGAUUGCUUAUAUUAUUUUGAUAUUUUGGAACUUAGCCGAGAUUUUUAUUUUGAUAUUUUGGAACUUAGUCGAGAUUUUGCUUUUCAUAAAGUAGUAGGCCUAGUGAUGCGAUUAGAAACUAACAAUGUCAGAGCUAGCUCUUCUGAUGGGAUUUUUCAGUUGAUGGUGAUCAAAAUUGUAAUAGUUAAUAUUCGUCUGUCUUUGGUUGCCAGUAACAGAUCCGGUUCGGUGGUAUUGACUGUUGCCAGAACAGUUUGGGCUUUUUGUGCUCAUCUUUUUUAAUUCGUCGUAUAUUUUUUUCACGACGUGUGUCAAAAAAGUUAAUUUUCGAUUAUCAUCGAUACACAAGAUUUCAAACCGCU